ACGUCUACAUUAGAUACCCCUGUAGUCCCAGCCGUAAACUAUGCGCGUUAGGUGUAUCGGUGACCACGAGUCACCGAGGUGCCGAAGGGAAACCGUGAAACGUGCCGCCUGGGAAGUACGGUCGCAAGGCUGAAACUUAAAGGAAUUGGCGGGGAGCACCACAACGGGUGGAGCCUGCGGUUUAAUUGGACUCAACGCCGGGAAGCUCACCGGAUAAGACAGCGGAAUGAUUGCCGGGCUGAAGACUCUGCAUGACUAGCUG
rnacentral:rRNA from 1 species